rnacentral:rRNA from 1 species
GAUGAACGCUAGCGGCAGGCCUAAUACAUGCAAGUCGAACGAGAUUGAGGAGCUUGCUCUUCAUGAAAGUGGCGCACGGGUGCGUAACGCGUAUGCAACCUACCUUAAUCAGGGGGAUAGCCUCUCGAAAGAGAGAUUAACACCGCAUAACAUUAUUAUAUGGCAUCAUAUGAUAAUCAAAUAUUUAUAGGAUUAAGAUGGGCAUGCGUGACAUUAGUUAGUUGGCGGGGUAACGGCCCACCAAGACGAUGAUGUCUAGGGGAUCUGAGAGGAUGCCCCCCCACACUGGUACUGAGACACGGACCAGACUCCUACGGGAGGCAGCAGUAAGGAAUAUUGGUCAAUGGGCGCAAGCCUGACCCAGCCAUGCCGCGUGCAGGAAGACGGCCCUACGGGUUGUAAACUGCUUUUAUACUGGAAUAAACCUACUUACGUGUAAGUAGCUGAAUGUACAGUAAGAAUAAGGAUCGGCUAACUCCGUGCCAGCAGCCGCAGUAAUAC